GGAGAGGUGGCUGAGCGGCUGAAGGCACCGGUUUCGAAAACCGGCAUGUGCGCAAGUGCAUCGAGGGUUCAAAUCCCUCCCUCUCCGCCA
rnacentral:tRNA from 1 species